rnacentral:rRNA from 1 species
CCUACGGGAGGCAGCAGUGAGGAAUAUUGGUCAAUGGCCGGAAGGCUGAACCAGCCAUGCCGCGUGAAGGGCAGCGACCUAAGGGCGUUAAACUUCUUUUGUGCGGGAGCAAUAAUGGUCACGUGUGGCCAGACGAGAGUACCGUAAGAAUAAGCAACGGCAAACUACGUGCCAGCAGCCGCGGUAAUACGUAGGUGGCAAGGGUUAUCCGGAUUGUUUGGUUGUAAAGGGCGUGUAGGCGGGAGCGCAAGUCAGAUGUGAAAACUCAGGGCUCAACCCUGAGCCUGCAUUUGAAACUGUGUUUCUUGAGUGCUGGAGAGGCAAUCGGAAUUCCGUGUGUAGCGGUGAAAUGCGUAGAUAUACGGAGGAACACCAGUGGCGAAGGCGGAUUGCUGGACAGUAACUGACGCUGAGGCGCGAAAGCGUGGGGAGCAAACAGGAUUAGAUACCCCAGUAGUC